rnacentral:rRNA from 1 species
ACGGGAGGCAGCAGUCGGGAAUAUUGCGCAAUGGAGGAAACUCUGACGCAGUGACGCCGCGUGCAGGAAGAAGGUUUUCGGAUUGUAAACUGCUUUAGACAGGGAAGAAAAGGGACAGUACCUGUAGAAUAAGCUCCGGCUAACUACGUGCCAGCAGCCGCGGUAAUACGUAGGGAGCGAGCGUUGCCCGGAUUUAUUGGGUGUAAAGGGUGCGUAGACGGGAAGACAAGUUGGUUGUGAAAUCCCUUGGCUCAACUGAGGAAUUGCAACCAAAACUAUCAUUCUUGAGUACUGGAGAGGAAAGUGGAAUUCCUAGUGUAGCGGUGAAAUGCGUAGAUAUUAGGAGGAACACCAGUGGCGAAGGCGACUUUCUGGACAGUAACUGACGUUGAGGCACGAAAGUGUGGGGAGCAAACAGGAUUAGAUACCCUGGUA